rnacentral:rRNA from 1 species
GAUGAACGCUGGCGGCGUGCUUAACACAUGCAAGUCGAACGGAAAGGCCCAAGCUUGCUUGGGUACUCGAGUGGCGAACGGGUGAGUAACACGUGGGUGAUCUGCCCUGCACUUCGGGAUAAGCCUGGGAAACUGGGUCUAAUACUGGAUAGGACCACUUCUUGGAUGGUGUGGUGGAAAGUUUUUUCGGUGUGGGAUGAGCUCGCGGCCUAUCAGCUUGUUGGUGGGGUAAUGGCCUACCAAGGCGUCGACGGAUAGCCGGCCUGAGAGGGUGUACGGCCACAUUGGGACUGAGAUACGGCCCAGACUCCUACGGGAGGCAGCAGUGGGGAAUAUUGCACAAUGGGCGCAAGCCUGAUGCAGCGACGCCGCGUGGGGGAUGACGGCCUUCGGGUUGUAAACUCCUUUCGCUAGGGACGAAGCGUUUUUGUGACGGUACCUGGAGAAGAAGCACCGGCUAACUACGUG